GCCGAGAUAGCUCAAUUGGUAGAGCAACGGUAUCGUAAACCGUAGGUUGUGGGUUCAAGUCCCAUUCUCGGCUCCA
rnacentral:tRNA from 2 species